AUUGAACGCUAGCGGGAUGCCUUACACAUGCAAGUCGAACAGCAGCACGGACUUCGGUCUGGUGGCGAGUGGCGAACGGGUGAGUAAUGUAUCGGAACGUGCCCAGUAGCGGGGGAUAACUACGCGAAAGCGUAGCUAAUACCGCAUACGCCCUACGGGGAAAGCAGGGGAUCGCAAGACCUUGCACUAUUGGAGCGGCC
rnacentral:rRNA from 1 species